AGUCCAUGUCUCUUUCACUCACUGUGGUCAGCUUCCACACCAUUUCUUUGGUGUGGCUUGGCAAGAACCUCAGGUGUUACAUCUUGGCGAGCCAGACAGGAGACUCCAGAAAAGGGGUGAUUUUCCUGUACCAGUCCAAUGCCUCCAGAGGAAGAUCAUACAUUUGCCAUUUUACUGCUUAGUACGCAUGCUUGAGCCUGCUCGCCCAACUGCUGAGAUCUUAUUCAGAAACUGCUGAUCACCAACUCCAGGUGUUUUUAUUACACAAGACAAAAACGGAAAAACAGUAACAAAUGAUUGGUUAAGCCUUUCAAAACAAAGAAGUUGAAGGUCACUGGAAUAGGUUCAUUACACUCAAGCAAAGGCCUGGGGAAAUGAUAGAAUUACCUCUGUUGACCCAGAAGAGCACCAAAAGCACCAGUGUGCAGAAAUCAGAGACCUCAAGCUAAAAGUCAUAAAAGGACAAGAACCUGGAAGUCGUCGAACUGUGGAAGCAAAAGACCUGUAAUGCUCCUGCUUGCCGAGCUGUGAGCAGUGGUAGUAAAAGAGCAGUAACAUUCUCUCCUGCUUGCCAAACAGGAGAGAAGCCACUGGCACCACUCCCUCCCACUCACUGAACUAUAGAAGAGAAAAAAUUGAAACACCAAAAUUGGGGAAAUGCGACUUUUGCGAAAAUUUGAAAGUGCAUGCUUCACAGAAGGAAGGGGGAGCUGGUCUAUUAUGUCUCACUAUAACAAGACUAAAAUUUUGCAAAUAAAUUGUUCCUGCCAUAAUUUAUCCUUGGUAGAAAUGAAGAAAUUGGAGAGAGAAAAAAUUGGAUUCUAGGUCCUGACCAUUGUUUUUGAAUUUUUAUUAUUUUCCUACAAUUUAGGCUAAAUUCUGAACUAUUUGCUGGCUACAAGAGGCCUCUAAAAAAGAGCUGGGUUUUAGUUUUCUUCAUGCUCUUUAAAAACUGGCAUAUAAUGGUGUGUAUCUCUCGUUGUUUUACUUCUAAGAAACUGAAGGCAUGAUAUUCUGAAGACUAGAGGUGAUUCAAUAGCCUAUGAAUCUUCUUCAUUUGGAACCCCACUGGGCCUGAUCUGUUUCCCAUCACCAAUGCACUUCUGCUAAACCUAUAUCCUAUCAAGUACUCUCCCUAAAUGCUCAGAGACCAUAACAGAAGAUGAGGGUGUGUGAGAUUAUAAAAGCCAAAUUAGUGGAGUGGAAUCUGGAGGCUAAAGCAACUCCAUCUUGGAUGCUAAUCUGCCAUGUUGGCUUCUGAUUAACCCCAGUUCUGGAGGGCCUCUGAGGUUUCCAAUUUAUCUACUGUCCCUUGUGUAAGAACAAGUACUUAUCAUAAAUCCUGCUAUUAGGGCAAAUUUCUACCCAUUCCCUCUGAAGCAUGUGCACCUCUCCUCUACAUGUAAUCUCCCCUACAAUAGAUAAACCCCUCUGGGUCUGGGGGCUAAUAGUGUGGGAACCCAUCAUCUUGCCUCACUGCUGCACAAGCCACAGGUGUGGCUUCUGUUUCUAAGUCCCUAUUAAAUGUUUCUAGAUACCA
rnacentral:lncRNA from 1 species